GGGGCAGGUCAGCCCCGCACUGGUACAGCAGGGGUUAACUCUUCUCUACUAGCAGAGAAAGCCACGCCCAGGAAGUUCUGCUGGGCAUGCUCCAACUGGCAGACCAGUAUAAAAGCCUGCAGGUCUGCUCAGUCUGGGCUGGCCACCGGGGGAGAAGGACGCAGACCGUCAGCCUCUGCAGAGGGAGAACCCAGGAGCUCGGACCGGGGCGCCAGCCGAGCCGGGGCCGACCCGGAGCCCCCGGGGAGGGACGCCGGCAGUGACGGACCUACGGGGGAGCCGCUCCCACAACGCAGAUGUCCGGCCAGGCAGGUCUAAAGGCAGUUUUUUGCCCUGUGGGACAGAAGACAUGAUUUUGGAGAUGAUAUCUCACUUCCUGGGCGGUUGGAAGUCAGGUAUACCAUGUCACAAAAGGAUGAAAUCAACAGAGUGCCUGGAAAGAAGAUCCCUAGGCAGCUUCAUCUGAUUAACUGAAUCAUGAACAAGAAACCUCACACAAGCUCCAAGCACAAACUCUUGCUGACCAUCAAAAGACUGAUAAGUCCUUCCCAUUCCAUGAUCAUUUUAACAACAGGUUCACCUCCCUGGUCUACAUCACAGAAGCUUGUCUAUCUGAAAGCAGAGGUCUGUGUUCUUAGCAUACCCCAACUGUCCAUAUUCACCCCAAAUCCAGAGAAGACAAGCGUGGAGGUUGUAUAACCAAUACUAGUCUCUUCUGCAGGAAAAUAUCACUUAAGGUAGGGAUAGGGAGGAGCUUUUCAGUGCAUCCACUUAACCAGUAUGACUCCAGAUUAGAUCAAACUAAAUGUCUGAUAAUCUAUAGAUUUUCAGACACCAAAGGUUUCCCAGAAGAGCUUGAAGAGAUACAGUCUGACAAAGUAAUUAAGCUUACAAGGGAGAAGGCGUCUGAUACAAUAGACCAAAACCUCAUACCCAAACAGGGCCGGCUCCAGGCACCAGCUCAGCAAGCAGGUGCUUGGGGCGGCCAACAGAAAGGGAGGCACGUCCGGCUGUUUGGCAGCAAGUCCUUCAGUCUCUCUCGGAGGGAAGGACCUGCCACCGAAUUGCUGCUGAAGAAUGAAGCAGUGGCGGUAGAAGGGCCAUUCACAGCUUCUUUUUUUUCCCCACCGUUUGGGGUGGCAAAAACGCUGGAGCCGGCCCUGUACCCAAACACUUGGUUUUGUGCUUCUCAUAGGUAAUCUCCAGACCCACACACACAGUAGGCUAAAAACAGAGAAGCUGCAUGCUGUGUUCUGUGAGCUGUGGGAUUAAACUGUCUGAUUCUUUCCAGAAGCUCUUCAUCAGUUAGGGCAUAACAUAGAGCAAAU